rnacentral:rRNA from 1 species
GCAGUCGCCACGGUAAUACGAAGGGUGCAAGCGUUAAUCGGAAUUACUGGGCGUAAAGCGUGCGUAGGCGGUUUGUUAAGUCUGUUGUGAAAUCCCCGGGCUCAACCUGGGAAUGGCAAUGGAUACUGGCAAGCUAGAGUGUGUCAGAGGAUGGUGGAAUUCCCGGUGUAGCGGUGAAAUGCGUAGAGAUCGGGAGGAACAUCAGUGGCGAAGGCGGCCAUCUGGGACAACACUGACGCUGAGGCACGAAAGCGUGGGGAGCAAACAGGAUUAGAUACCCCCGUAGUCCCUGUCUCUUAUAC